UACGUAGGGUGCGAGCGUUGUCCGGAAUUAUUGGGCGUAAAGGGCUCGUAGGCGGUCCGUCACGUCGGGAGUGAAAUCCUGGGGCUUAACCCCAGAACUGCUUCCGAUACGGGCAGACUAGAGGUAGGUAGGGGAGAAUGGAAUUCCUGGUGUAGCGGUGGAAUGCGCAGAUAUCAGGAGGAACACCAGUGGCGAAGGCGGUUCUCUGGGCCUUACCUGACGCUGAGGAGCGAAAGCGUGGGGAGCAAACAGG
rnacentral:rRNA from 1 species